rnacentral:rRNA from 1 species
AUGCACGCUGGCGGCGUGCCUAAUACCUGCAAGUCGAGCGAACGGACGAGAAGCUUGCUUUUCUGAUGUUAGCGGCGGACGGGUGAGUAACACGUGGAUAACCUACCUAUAAAACUGGGAUAACUUCGGGAAACCGGAGCUAAUACCGGAUAAUAUUUUGAACCGCAUGUUUCAAAAGUGAAAGACGGUCUUGCUGUCACUUAUAGAUGGAUCCGCGCUGCAUUAGCUAGUUGGUAAGUUAGCGGCUUACCAAGGCAACGAUGCAUAGCCGACCUGAGAGGGUGAUCGGCCACACUGGAACUGAGAAACGGUCCAGACUCCUACGGGAGGCAGCAGUAGGGAAUCUUCCGCAAUGGGCGAAAGCCUGACGGAGCAACGCCGCGUGAGUGAUGAAGGUCUUCGGAUCGUAAAACUCUGUUAUUAGGGAAGAACAUAUGUGUAAGUAACUGUGCACAUCUUGACGGUACCUAAUCAGAAAGCCACGGCUAACUACGUG